rnacentral:rRNA from 1 species
CAGUCGCCGCGGUAAAACGAAGGGUGCAAGCGUUACUCGGAAUUACUGGGCGUAAAGCGUGUGUAGGUGGUGGUUUAAGUCCGUUGUGAAAGCCAUGGGCUCAACCUGGGAAUUGCAGUGGAUACUGGGUCACUAGAGUGUGGUAGAGGAUAGUGGAAUUUCCGGUGUAGCAGUGAAAUGCGUAGAGAUCGGAAGGAACAUCUGUGGCGAAGGCGACUAUCUGGGCCAACACUGACACUGAGGCACGAAAGCGUGGGGAGCAAACAGGAUUAGAGACCCCCGUAGUCCCUGUCUCUUAUAC